rnacentral:rRNA from 1 species
CUCCUACGGGAGGCAGCAGUAGGGAAUCUUCCGCAAUGGGCGCAAGCCUGACGGAGCAACGCCGCGUGAGUGAGGAAGGCCUUCGGGUUGUAAAACUCAGUCACCUGGGAAGAGAGGUAUGGGGAGUGGAAUGCCCCAUACGAGACGGUACCAGGGGAGGAAGCCCCGGCUAACUACGUGCCAGCAGCCGCGGUAAUACGUAGGGGGCAAGCGUUGUCCGGAAUCACUGGGCGUAAAGCGUGCGUAGGCGGUCUUUCAAGUCCGGGGUGAAAACUCAAGGCUCAACCUUGAGAAUGCCUUGGAAACUGGGGGACUUGAGUACUGGAGAGGCAAGGGGAAUUCCACGUGUAGCGGUGAAAUGCGUAGAGAUGUGGAGGAAUACCAGUGGCGAAGGCGCCUUGCUGGACAGUGACUGACGCUGAGGCACGAAAGCGUGCGGAGCAAACAGGAUUAGAUACCCUGGUAGUCCACGCUGUAAACGAUGAGUGCUAGGUGUUGGGGGUUCAUCCCCUCAGUGCCGAAGGAAACCCAAUAAGCACUCCGCCUGGGGAGUACGGUCGCAAGACUGAAACUCAAAGGAAUUGACGGGGGCCCGCACAAGCAGUGGAGCAUGUGGUUUAAUUCGAAGCAACGCGAAGAACCUUACCAGGGCUUGACAUCCCUCUGACCGGUUCAGAGAUGGGCCUUCCCUUCGGGGCAGAGGAGACAGGUGGUGCAUGGUUGUCGUCAGCUCGUGUCGUGAGAUGCUGGGUUAAGUCCCGCAACGAGCGCAACCCUUGACCUGUGUUACCAGCACGUAAUGGUGGGGACUCACAGGUGACUGCCGGCGUAAGUCGGAGGAAGGUGGGGAUGACGUCAAAUCAUCAUGCCCUUUAUGUCCUGGGCUACACACGUGCUACAAUGGGCGGUACAAACGGUUGCCAACUCGCGAGAGGGAGCUAAUCCGAUAAAGUCGUUCUCAGUUCGGAUUGUAGGCUGCAACUCGCCUACAUGAAGCCGGAAUCGCUAGUAAUCGCGGAUCAGCAUGCCGCGGUGAAUACGUUCCCGGGCCUUGUACACACCGCCCGU